GAAAUACUCCCUCCGUCCCAAAAUUCUUGUCUUAGAUUUGUCUAAAUACGGAUGUAUCAAGUCAAGUUUUGGUAUUAGAUACAUCCGUAUGUAGACUAAUCUAAGACAAGAAUUUUGGGAUGGAGGGAGUAUAAA
rfam:Triticum aestivum genome assembly, contig: Triticum_aestivum_CS42_TGACv1_scaffold_404265_5BL